GACGAACGCUGGCGGCGUGCUUAACACAUGCAAGUCGAACGGAAAGGCCCUGCUUUUGUGGGGUGCUCGAGUGGCGAACGGGUGAGUAACACGUGAGUAACCUGCCCUUGACUUUGGGAUAACUUCAGGAAACUGGGGCUAAUACCGGAUAGGAGCUCCUGCUGCAUGGUGGGGGUUGGAAAGUUUCGGCGGUUGGGGAUGGACUCGCGGCUUAUCAGCUUGUUGGUGGGGUAGUGGCUUACCAAGGCUUUGACGGGUAGCCGGCCUGAGAGGGUGACCGGCCACAUUGGGACUGAGAUACGGCCCAGACUCCUACGGGAGGCAGCAGUGGGGAGUAUUGCACAAUGGGCGGAAGCCUGAGGCAGCAACGCCGCGUGCGGGAUGACGGCCUUCGGGUUGUAAACCGCUUUCGCCUGUGACGAAGCGUGAGUGACGGUAAUGGGUAAAGAAGCACCGGCUAACUACGUG
rnacentral:rRNA from 1 species